CUGCAGGAUUUGGUGAACUUCUUCAGAAAUAACUUCUUUAGUAUUUGCGUCAUACUCUAACAUCUCCUCGAAUCUCUGAAACUCCAUGGUCUUUUAUCUACUCCAAAAUUCUUGGCUAAGUUCCCAAAUAUUUUCCGUCUGAUCUUUGGCUUAUUCUCCAAACCAUAAUCGAUGAAUCAAAUUCACUCCACCACAUAUCUCGAUGCUAAAAUUAUUGUAUAUGAUUAACUCGACCUUAACCUUCUGGCGGAAACAUCUCACUGUACCAACUUCGUAAACUUAAUCUUCAAUCGGUCCCAUACCUUGUUUAGAAAAUUCUACUUCGUGAACUCUUGAAAUCUGUCCAACUCGAUCUCACCUCUCUGAAGUAAUUCUUAACUCUCAACCAACAACUCAUCGCAUUCAUCUUCAAAUAGCUUGCUGCCAAAUCCUUCUUGUCAUUCUCUGAACAGCGGCCACGUCAAUAUUAUGCUCUGGGUGUUGCAUCCCAAUUCUUCC
rnacentral:lncRNA from 1 species